UCUCUCGAUCUCUCUCUCUCUCUCUAUCGCUCUCUCCCUCUCUCUCUCUCGACAGGUACCCUAGACAUCCAGAGACAUUAUCCACAUCAUUAAACUCUUGAUGCACUGAUAAUACCGCUGACAUAAACCUAAUCAACUGAUAUAUUCGAGGCCGCGAGGUGCCGCUGGAGUCGUGCGCGGCGCGGUCUGUGCGCGUGAUUCCUCCGGAGCGCUCGAGCACUUUUUUCCUCCCUACAUCCACCUCCACGUGUUGCAUUGUGGGUGUUUAACAGCGCUUAUCCGCUGUGGCUCGGGGAAGUUUUAUUUUGGCUUUCGCGGGAUUUCAGGAGCCAGGAACCUGGACCGAACCGGGCUGCGGUGCCGAAUAAACAGCGAGCAAACGGCACAUUUUGUCCGGACAUCAGCCGGACAGCUUCCUGUGGAGAAGUGCGGAAGGUUUUAGGCUACUGGGGUCCGGCUGUAAUUCAGAAUGGUGGUGUGUUGGGAAAAGGCUCAACUUCAGAGCGGUGGCAGUAACUCUGAUUCAUGUCGGGACGCACCACGUGACAUCACAUGACACGGCGUCACCCUGUCGUUGAUUAUUUUCCUAUGACGGCGCAGUCUCAACUGGUUUCCUUACACGGUUGGGAGCGUGAAGCGUGUACUCCAUUCUACGCCCACAGUAAUGGCAUUUCCUUCUGUGGUGAGGAUGAAAAACCUUAUAACGGCUCCUACAACGUUUUCCAAACCUGUCCCGGCGCUACAAGGCUGAGUUUAAGAACCGGUGGUUCAGACAGUCCGGUGUCUCUUUAGUCCCCCGGAGCAGAUGUGUACCGGCAGAAUAUCGCGGCCAUUUGGCGCGUUUUCACCAGCUCAGCGGUGGGUCCUCACCACGUUGCCAAGUGUAAGAGAAGCGAACAGGAUGGGACAAGCAGAGAUGCAGUUCAGUCCCAGAUGAGCAGGGGUAAUACCACUUCCUACGUUUUAUUACAUAUUUUUUUUAGUGUCACUUUCAUGUACUAUGUUUUGUUUGUUCACGUGCGUGCUCAUUAAGGAAGUGGUGUGUCGAUGGAUGGAUGGAUGGUCGCCGAUCGUCGUCACCUCUGUGCUGCGUUUCCGCUGCUGAUGAACCGUUCUGCUUCUCUUUAAACGUGUGCCAUCAGUCCUCCAUUCGAGUCGGGAAAAUCAGUCUUCAGAUGCAAGCCAUUAGCUCCGUUUCCUCUUCCUGUUUCAGGCUCG
ensembl:lncRNA